rnacentral:rRNA from 1 species
GACGAACGCUGGCGGCGCGCUUAACACAUGCAAGUCGAACGGAAAGGCCUGCUUUCCCUUGUGGAUUGCGGGUACUCGAGUGGCGAACGGGUGAGUAACACGUGAGUGAUCUGCCCCCAACUUGGGUAUAAGCCUGGGAAACUGGGUCUAAUUCCCGAUAGGACUGCAGGGUGGUGCCUGUGGUGGAAAACGAUUUUCUAGUGGUUGGGGAUGAGCUCGCGGCCUAUCAGCUUGGUGGUGGGGUAAUGGCCUACCAAGGCGGCGACGGGUAGCCGGCCUGAGAGGGUGGACGGCCACAUUGGGACUGAGAUACGGCCCAGACUCCUACGGGAGGCAGCAGUGGGGAAUAUUGCACAAUGGGCGGAAGCCUGAUGCAGCGACGCCGCGUGGGGGAUGACGGCCUUCGGGUUGUAAACUCCUUUCGACCGCGAGGAAGCCACCUGGUUGGAAGGGUGGUGACGGUAGUGGUAGAAGAAGCACCGGCUAACUACGUG